rnacentral:tRNA from 1 species
GGCGGAAUUGGCAGACGCGCUGGACUCAAAAUCCAGUGAUCGUUGAGAUCGUGUGGGUUCGAACCCCACC